ensembl:lncRNA
GUUGAUCUGCCUGAGGGUAGCGAGGCCUUACAGAGGGAUCUGGAUAGGCUGGAUGGCUGGGCUGAAGGCAACGGGAUGGGAUUCAACAAGACCAAAUGCCGGGUCCUGCACUUUGGCCACAAUAACCCCAAUGAAUGUCAGCAACUGAGGGGCAGCCUGACUGAAUGGUGUCUGACAUGGAACUGUGAAUGAGGAAAAAGCGUGUCACUGAAAUCCUCUAUGCAAAUAAAUCAACAAGUAAAUAAUGGCACCACUGACAUCCGCGGAUGCUUACAGAACAUUUACAGGGACUGAAGAGUGGGUUUGAGCACAGUGGGGUGGUGGAUGGCAUGUUUCAGCAGUGGCAACAGUGACAGUGGCCACUUUUGCAGAUUGUUAUAACAGAGUGUGGCAUGCAGGUCCUUCUUCAUCGGUGGUAAAGAUGCAUAGCUAAGGAUGGUGACAAUGCUGAAAAACAGUGUUUUGUAGCUGAGAAUUGACUCAAUUAUAUAGUGUUGUUAUGCUCUUUGUAUGUGCUGUAGCUUCUAGGGUAAUAGAUAGGAGGCAUGACUUGCGGAGCAACGUGCAUAUGAGUGGAAAUUAGUAGAAGUUAGCUAACUAAUAGGGCUGAUGAAUCCCAAUGUCUUUACACUUUAUCAGACUUAAAACAUUCCAAGAACAAGUUAAUAAUAUGCCUGUGUUAGAAAAAAUGUUAAAGGUGGUACAAGAAGCAGGACCCAUUCCACUUCCUCCAUCAAACUCUAAGCAACAUAACAUAUCUGUGGGUUUAAAUCAAACCGCCGAUUCUCACAACCACAUCAGUUUUGUGCUCUCCAUGUGAGUCAAAGUUACUGAACCAUUUGACUAGUUUGGCACACCUCUUCACUUAAUCAUAACACUUACAAGACAAAAUUAAACGAAAGUAGACGUGGAGCAGAAUACUCUGUUAGCAUCUGAGAAUGGCUACAGGAGUCCGGAUAAGGAUGCCUGCAAGUGAGCAGCUGGAAUUUAUUCUCGUUCACUAUUGUUCAAUUACUCUACAUGGGUGUACACAUUAGUAUCACAGCAUUUCAGCAACAACUCUAAAAACACAGGAUGCAAUUGAUUCAUUAGAAGUUCUAUUCUGAUUCACAAGCAUUUAAAUCAGUUCCAGCUGUCAACUUCAGCCGAAAAGCAAAGCACACAGUAAUCUGUGUUCAGCUGUGGAGCCUGGCGUGUCGUUCUGUGGGAUUUAGCAAGCCUUAGAAAUGAGGCAUACUCUGAGGUAGCAAUGAUUCAAACAAGGAAUGGAGAUCACGACUUCCGCAAGUGGUUUCCACUUGAAGGGUGGCCUUGUGAUAUCAGCAGUGUCUUUUGGAGUGAUUUCUUAGGCAGGUAAGACAAUUAGAAAGAAAGAACAAGAGAGAAAGGGGAAAGAAGACAGUACUCAGAUUAAAUGCAUUCUGUAUGAGAGAAGUAUUUUGAAUUAAUGUAAUUAUUAUUUAACUUAGGAAUAAGUAGCAGUAAAAGAGGCUGAAACAAGAAAUACAGUGAGAAGAAUUGAACGUACCCUACACAAAACUAAUGAAAUCCAGUACUCUGUAAUUUUGGUUAAUUGUAACCCUUUCUUUUCGAUGAAGCAGGAACAGUCAGGUUUUGUUGCUCACGCUACAGGAACAGCCUAAUAUUUGUGGAGUCGCUAAUCCUCUCUUUCAUAUUUCUGAUAUUUUACUAACUGCUUCCAUUUGAGGAUGCUCAUCCAGACUAAUUCACGCUACAUUUCCCACCCCAACCCCCCACCCCCCCCCCCCUCCCCCCCCCUCCCAUUAUUACCUGUAUUUGUUAAGGUGCAUUUCUCAGCAAGAGUAAGGGCAUUCUUAGCAAAAAGACUGGGCAAAGAAGGAAUAAAGGAUUGUUUUUAC